GCACGAGCGCACCCCUAUCAUUAGUUGCCAGCGGUUCGGCCGGGGACUCUAAUGAGACUGUCUGGGAUAACCAGGAGGAAGGUGGGGAUGACGUCAAGUCCGUAUGUCCCUUAUGUCCAGGGCUACACACGUGUUACAAUGGCCGGUACAAAGGGUCGCGAAGCCGCAAGGUGAAGCCAAUCCCAUAAAACCGGCCCCAGUUCGGAUUGAAGUCUGCAACUCGACUUCAUGAAGUCGGAAUCGCUAGUAAUCGCGUAUCAGCACGACGCGGUGAAUACGUUCCCGGGUCUUGUACACACCGCCCGUCACGCCAUGGAAGUCGGUAGUGCCCAAAGCAGGUGGCCUAACCUUCGGGAGGGAGCCUGUUAAGGUAAGACUGGUAACUGGGGCGAAGUCGUAACAAGGUAGCCGUACCGGAAGGUGCGGCUGGAACA
rnacentral:rRNA from 1 species